rnacentral:tRNA from 1 species
GCGCCUGUAGCUCACCGGACAGAGCGCGCGGCUCCGGACCGCGAGGCAGCAGGUUCGAUUCCUGCCAGGCGCA